UUACGGCCACAUCAUGUUGAAACACCGGUUCUCGUAUGAUCACCGAAGUUAAGCAACAUCGAGCCUGGUCAGUAAUUACGUGAAUGGCCUCUUGUGAAUAGAUGU